rnacentral:rRNA from 1 species
CCUACGGGAGGCAGCAGUGAGGAAUAUUGGUCAAUGGACGCGAGCCUGAACCAGCCAAGUAGCGUGAAGGAUGACUGCCCUAUGGGUUGUAAACUUCUUUUAUAAAGGAAUAAAGUGAGGCACGUGUGCCUUUUUGCAUGUACCUUAUGAAUAAGGAUCGGCUAACUCCGUGCCAGCAGCCGCGGUAAUACGGAGGAUCCGAGCGUUAUCCGGGUUUAUUGGGUUUAAAGGGAGCGUAGUUGGGUUGUUAAGUCAGUUGUGAAAGUUUGCGGCUCAACCGUAAAAUUGCAGUUGAUACUGGCAGUCUUGAGUACAGUAGAGGUAGGCGGAAUUCGUGGUGUAGCGGUGAAAUGCUUAGAUAUCACGAAGAACCCCGAUUGCGAAGGCAGUUUACUAGACUGUGACUGACAUUGAGGCUCGAAAGUGUGGGUAUCAAACAGGAUUAGAUACCCUAGUAGUC